rnacentral:lncRNA from 1 species
GAUAGCCCUUACUAUGUUAAUAGCUAAGUUUCUUUCACUUAUUCGGACACUCUUGGCAAAUUUCCUGAUGGUGCUAAUCAGCAUUUAUUGAGGUUAUUUUUCCUCUGCUUUGGUUUGUUGUCUUAUUUUUGUUACACAUUGUGCUGGGCUUUUUUCGACUGAAUUAUUUUAUUUCAUCUGCAUUACACAUGUAAGAGCUAGAGAAGAGACACGAGGACUGGAAUUUGAAACAAGGAGAAAAAGAGCCAGUGCUGAGAGCAAAUGGGCCAACAGAAGGAAGAGUGGAGAAGAAUGCAGAAAAGAACACAUGUCUGAGAGCCGAGGAAAAUUGCUUCCGCCACAGGGAGCCAACGGAAUCUAAUGGCACCGAGAGGUCAAAGAACUUGAGACUUGAUGCAGGAUCUGGGUCAUCCCUUGCCAGACCAUUUGGUCACCAGUCUUUUGUCACCUACUGUCUAUGGCCACUUGAACUUCA